rnacentral:tRNA from 1 species
GCGGGCGUGGCGGAACUGGCAGACGCGCUAGACUUAGGAUCUAGUGCCGCGAGGCGUGGGAGUUCGAAUCUCUUCGCCCGCACCA